UAGAGUUUGAUCCUGGCUCAGAUUGAACGCUGGCGGCAUGCCUUACACAUGCAAGUCGAACGGCAGCGCGGGGCAACCUGGCGGCGAGUGGCGAACGGGUGAGUAAUAUAUCGGAACGUACCCUGGAGUGGGGGAUAACGUAGCGAAAGUUACGCUAAUACCGCAUACGAUCUAAGGAUGAAAGUGGGGGAUCGCAAGACCUCAUGCUCCUGGAGCGGCCGAUAUCUGAUUAGCUAGUUGGUGGGGUAAAGGCCUACCAAGGCAUCGAUCAGUAGCUGGUCUGAGAGGACGACCAGCCACACUGGAACUGAGACACGGUCCAGACUCCUACGGGAGGCAGCAGUGGGGAAUUUUGGACAAUGGGCGCAAGCCUGAUCCAGCAAUGCCGCGUGAGUGAAGAAGGCCUUCGGGUUGUAAAGCUCUUUUGUCAGGGAAGAAACGGUGAAGGCUAAUAUCCUUUGCUAAUGACGGUACCUGAAGAAUAAGCACCGGCUAACUACGUGCCAGCAGCCGCGGUAAUACGUAGGGUGCAAGCGUUAAUCGGAAUUACUGGGCGUAAAGCGUGCGCAGGCGGUUUUGUAAGUCUGUCGUGAAAUCCCCGGGCUCAACCUGGGAAUUGCGAUGGAGACUGCAAGGCUAGAAUCUGGCAGAGGGGGGUAGAAUUCCACGUGUAGCAGUGAAAUGCGUAGAUAUGUGGAGGAACACCGAUGGCGAAGGCAGCCCCCUGGGUCAAGAUUGACGCUCAUGCACGAAAGCGUGGGGAGCAAACAGGAUUAGAUACCCUGGUAGUCCACGCCCUAAACGAUGUCUACUAGUUGUCGGGUCUUAAUUGACUUGGUAACGCAGCUAACGCGUGAAGUAGACCGCCUGGGGAGUACGGUCGCAAGAUUAAAACUCAAAGGAAUUGACGGGGACCCGCACAAGCGGUGGAUGAUGUGGAUUAAUUCGAUGCAACGCGAAAAACCUUACCUACCCUUGACAUGGCAGGAAUCCCUGAGAGAUUGGGGAGUGCUCGAAAGAGAACCUGCACACAGGUGCUGCAUGGCUGUCGUCAGCUCGUGUCGUGAGAUGUUGGGUUAAGUCCCGCAACGAGCGCAACCCUUGUCAUUAGUUGCUACGAAAGGGCACUCUAAUGAGACUGCCGGUGACAAACCGGAGGAAGGUGGGGAUGAA
rnacentral:rRNA from 1 species